CUGAGCUGGGGAAGCAAAAGCAAGCAAAGCAAGCAUAGCGACAAAAAUAUGUUCAGGAUUCCAAGGCAUCCCCUGUUGAGAAACCAGAUUUUCAGCUUGAUUAGUGAGGGUUUUUAUCUGUCCCCAAAUAGGGAGAUCAUAAGGUCGAUGGCGUCGAGUGCAGCGUUUCUUGGAAAUUUUUAAAGCCGCCAUGGCUUAUACUGGAAACUCCUCCUGGGGAUUUCGCCCUUUCUUCUCUAUCUUGAACGCCAGUGGCUCCCCUGGGGCAGAUCUUACGAAGAGGGAGCCAACUGAUUUCGCUGGAUCCAUCUGGAGAAAUACAAGCAUACCCCUUUCCCUGUAAUAUUAAUUUCCAGAUUUCCAUCGUUGAGUCAACCCAUCCUGAUACCAAAUGGUCAGAGGGAGGGAGGUGUCCUUCAAUGCCUCGAAAUGCUUUUCUGUUUUUGUCAAAAUAUCUCCUUGCGGUAAGUUAAAAGAAUUUAAAACAAAUAAAGCUGUAUUAACAAUAGUUACAGGCUUAAAGAACAUAUUGCAUUGGAAUCUAGUAAAGUCUGCUCUGGAUAAGGAAGAUAAGGAAGAUAGAAGUGUUCCUUUGUAUUCCCCCUUUUUAAAUUUUUUUAUUUGUAGUUUUAAUGUGUGAUGAGUUUGUUUAACUAUGUCUUGUGUUUGUGGAUUAUAAGGAAUGUCUGUAAUAUGUUUAAUAGAAAAUGAUUGUAAAAAUUGUUUGAAUUGUCUAGAAAUAUAGGCAGGGCCAUUGUCUGUUUUUAUACAACUAGGUGUUUCUAUUAUUGCAAAGCAAGCUAACAGGUGGGUUAUAACAGGUGGGUUAUAACAUGUCGAGGCUUCACCUUGGAGAGGUGUGGCCCAUAUAAAAGAAUUUGUAUCAACUGAGACAUGUAAGAAGGAAGAGGGAGAAAGUUCAGGGCAAUGAGUUACAUCUAUUUGUCAUAGUUCAUUGGGUUGUAAUCUUUGAGGAUUGAUACUUUGUGUAAUGGGUUGAAGAUGUAGGGGCCUACAAGUAGAGCAAUUAUUAAUGAUUUUUUUUAGCAUGUCGGUAUGGAAUUUUCUAAAUUUGAUGUAAUGAGCCAGUAUUAUUGUGUAACAGAGCAUGCUGCUCUUCAGGAGUAGCAAAAGAGACGUUUAUCAGCUUGUUCAUUGUCAUGGGCCAUAGGGCCAGGAAGACAAGAAUGUGUUCAAAUAUGGUAAUAUAAAUGGGGAAAGUGUGGUUUCUAAUAAUAGGUUGUAGUUCAAGAAAAAGUUGUUGGGUAAUAGAUUGAUUAGAAUUUAUGGUAGAAGUUUCUAUAUUUUUUAGUACAGAAAUUGAAUAUAAGGAGUCAGAAACUAUAUUAACAGGAUAAGAAUGUAGGUGAAUAACCUGAAUGAGAGCAUAUAAUUUGUUUUGUUGAGCAGAGUGAAAUUUAGUAUAAAAGACUUUAUAUUCUUUGAGACACCAGAAUGAGGCUUUGGUGUUUUUAGUCUCAUCUAUCUAGAAAACAUCAGCUUGAGGUAUAGGUUGUGAUGUGACAAUGUGAGAGAUAAUAAAUUUAGUAUUUUUGAAGAAAUUUCAGAGUUUGUUAGAAGGAUAAUGAAAUGAAAUUUUUAAAAAAUAUUCUAGAAAAGCUAUUUGGAAAUUGGUAGAAGUUUGUAAUAUGUUCUCGAAUUGAGAUUUAUUAAUAGGUACUACAAUUUUAUGAGAAUCAGAGCCAAUUAGAAUCUUAACUCUAUUUUUUUUCUUGAUAAUGAUUAGAGCGAUCAAAUCAAGAUAGGGUAUAAGUGACCUUAUCUCCUUGAAAUGUGUAUAGAUCCAUUUUAUCAGGUGUUCUUGUUGAGUAAGAAGUCUUGUGGGAGAAUGGAGAGAGGGGAAUAUAAAUAACUCUAGAGGUAAAUCAAGUCUAAUAUGAGUAAGAAACUGUUUUUGCAAUUUAUUUUAUACCAGACAGUUUCUCUUGUGUCUCUUAUGAAAGUGAACAAGGGCUAUUUAAAUCGGGAUCUCCUUUUAAAGUGUUAAAUAAAUUAAUCAGUUGAUAAUUUGUAAUGUCUAAAGAGGGUCUAAUCUAAUUUAUAUCACCUAAAAGUUUUUGAAAAUCAUUCAAGGUUGAUAAUUUAUCAAUAUGAAUCUGUGUUAGUUGGGGAGUGAUAUGUUGUCUAUUAACAACAAAUCUUAAGUAAUAGUAAGGUGAAGAGGUUUGAAUCUUUUUAGGGGCAAUGAUUAAUCCAGAAGCUUUUAAGCAUUGUUGAGCUAUGUCAAACAUCUGUUGAGUUUUUAAAACAGA